rnacentral:rRNA from 1 species
AACGAACGCUGGCGGCAUGCCUAACACAUGCAAGUCGAACGAGACCUUCGGGUCUAGUGGCUCACGGGUUCGUAACGCGUGGGAACCUGCCCUUAGGUUCGGAAUAACUCCCCGAAAGGGGUGCUAAUACCGGAUAAUGUCUUCGGACCAAAGAUUUAUCGCCUUUGGAUGGGCCCGCGUUGGAUUAGCUAGUUGGUAGGGUAAAAGCAUACCACGGCGACGAUCCAUAGCUGGUCUGAGAGGAUGAUCAGCCACACUGGGACUGAGACACGGCCCAGACUCCUACGGGAAGCAGCAGUGGGGAAUAUUGGACAAUGGGCGAAAGCCUGCUCCAGCAAUGCCGCGUGAGUGAUGAAGGCCUUAGGGUUGUAAAGCUCUUUUACCCGGGAUGAUAAUGACAGUACCGGGAGAAUAAGCUCCGGCUAACUCCGUG